UACGUAGGGUGCAAGCGUUAAUCGGAAUUACUGGGCGUAAAGCGUGCGCAGGCGGUGAUGUAAGACAGAUGUGAAAUCCCCGGGCUCAACCUGGGAACUGCAUCUGUGACUGCAUAGCUAGAGUACGGUAGAGGGGGAUGGAAUUCCGCGUGUAGCAGUGAAAUGCGUAGAUAUGCGGAGGAACACCGAUGGCGAAGGCAAUCCCCUGGACCUGUACUGACGCUCAUGCACGAAAGCGUGGGGAGCAAACAGG
rnacentral:rRNA from 1 species